ensembl:processed_transcript
GCACGAGGUGUCCUCUCACCAGCAGCAGCUGCCAUCUCCCGAUUCAGAGGUUUGGAAUGCAGUGUAAGUUUUGCAAAUUUGUAAACAGUAGCUGAGAAGUUACACUACAGACUACAUCGCUAUCAAGGACCAUCCUGGCAGCAGCCUUGUUUGUUCGCAGACUGCUUCUGCACUUUCAAGACUCUGAUGUCCGAAAACAGUGGCCUGCAUGUUUUUGGGAGUUUAGGUCUGUGCUGAGUUUUACAGGAUUACUCAAACCAACCUCAAAGAUACCUUCUCUUUUUCGGAUGAAUACGCUAUCAAGUUUUAUGGAUCAUGUGGUGGGCGAUAUGGAGAGACAAUAAGAACCGUCUGGACCAACUGGACAAUCAA